AGCCGCCGCGGUAAUUCGUAGGAUGCGAGCGUUGUCCGGAAUUAUUGGGCGUAAAGGGCGUCUAGGUGGAAUAAUAAGUCCUGUGUGAAAUCUCUUGGCUCAACCAAGAAAUGUCACAGGAAACUAUUAAUCUAGAGGUUAUCAGAGGUAAGUGGAAUUCACGGAGUAGUGGUGAAAUGCGUAGAUACCGUGAGGAACACCAGAGGCGAAGGCGACUUACUAGGAUGAACCUGACACUAAAGCGCGAAAGCGUGGGUAGCAAACCGGAUUAGAUACCCGGGUAGUCCACGCCAUAAACGAUGGAUACUAGUUAUGGGAGGCAUUGACUCAUCUGUAACGAAGCUAACGCAUUAAGUAUCCCGCCUGGGGAGUACGGCCGCAAGGUUAAAACUCAAAGAAAUUGACGGGGGCCCGCACAAGCAGCGGAGCGUGUGGUUUAAUUCGAUGAUAAGCGAAGAACCUUACCAAGGCUUGAAAUAUAUCUGACAGCUAGUGAAAGCUAGUCUCCUUCGGGCAGAUAUACAGAUGUUGCAUGGCUGUCGUCAGCUCGUGCCGUGAGGUGUUGGGUUAAGUCCCACAACGAGCGCAACCCUCAUCGUUAGUUACUAUGUCUAGCGAGACUGCCUCUAAAAAAGAGGAGGAAGGUGGGGAUGACGUCAAGUCAGCAUGGCUCUUACGCCUUGGGCUACACACACGCUACAAUGGCCAGUACAAAGGGCUGCAAAGGAGCGAUCCGGAGCUAAUCCCAUAAAGCUGGCCCCAGUUGGAAUUGCAGGCUGCAACUCGCCUGCAUGAACGUGGAGUUGCUAGUAAACGCAGGUCAGCACACUGCGUUGAAUACGUUCCCGGGCCUUGUACACACCGCCCG
rnacentral:rRNA from 1 species